rnacentral:rRNA from 1 species
CGGAUUAGUGGCGAACGGGUGAGUAACAUAUCGGAACGUACCCAGUAAUGGGGGAUAACUAGUCGAAAGACUGGCUAAUACCGCAUACGCCCUGAGGGGGAAAGCGGGGGAUCGAAAGACCUCGUGUUAUUGGAGCGGCCGAUAUCUGAUUAGCUAGUUGGUGGGGUAAAGGCCUACCAAGGCGACGAUCAGUAGCUGGUCUGAGAGGACGACCAGCCACACUGGAACUGAGACACGGUCCAG